CGCUGGCGGCGUGCCUAAUACAUGCAAGUCGAACGGUCUUUCUAUGGAAGCUUGCUUCCACUGAGAGAUAGUGGGGAACGGGUGAGUAACACGUGGGUAACCUGCCCAUAAGAGGGGGGAUAACAUCCGGAAACGGGUGCUAAUACCGCAUAGUUUUCUUGAUCGCAUGAUUGAGAAAGGAAAGACGGCCUUUGUGCUGUCGCUUAUGGAUGGACCCGCGGCGUAUUAGUUAGUUGGUGAGGUAACGGCUCACCAAGACGAUGAUACGUAGCCGACCUGAGAGGGUGAUCGGCCACAUUGGGACUGAGACACGGCCCAAACUCCUACGGGAGGCAGCAGUAGGGAAUCUUCCGCAAUGGACGAAAGUCUGACGGAGCAACGCCGCGUGAGUGAAAGAAGGUUUUCGGAUCGUAAAACUCUGUUGUCAGAGAAGAACAAGUUGGAGAGUAACUGCUCCAGCCUUGACGGUAUCUGACCAGAAAGCCACGGCUAACUACGUGCCAGCCGCGGC
rnacentral:rRNA from 1 species